UUGCAGUCGGGCAAAUGGGCCUUUUAUACUAGAAGCUCAUGCACCCGCAAUAGCUCCCCAUGAGCAGGACCCUCUAGUUGAUGAAAGCCUUGCAGGCAUCCUAAGGGAAGUCCUUUGGCCUCUUGACUCUGGCAGGUAGAAGUUUGAAUUGCUGUGGGGUCAGCCUGGGGCUGCUGCCAAGAGCUCCUAUCUGUUGUGUAUUCUUGUUCUCCACCUGGCUCUCUGUGGCCUCUUGACUCUUGUCUAUUUCCUGUUCCUGCUAGCCUGAGGGAUAAGCCUCCAUGUGGCCCCUCCUUGAGCUCCAGGGAUGCCAUUUGGAGCUGAGCAAAGCGGCUGGGUUGCAGAGGAACUACAGGAAGUGCUGCCGCCCCCCCCCCCCCGUGGUGUCCCCACAGGAAGAGACUGAGGCCUUGGCUUAUGGUUGUAAUUGUGCAGUAUCUGUAUCCACUGUCACUGCCUGGGAGUCAUCUUUGAGGCUAAGGGACAGCUGUCUCUGGGGCCCGUGAGGACAAGGAGAGGCCGAGAGAUCCUUAGAGGGGAGUGAAGGUGAUGUCUUAAUCCCUGUUCUCCUGUGAUGAAAAAGACACCGUGACCAAGGUAACUCUUACAAAAGAAAGCGUCCAGUUGGGGGGCUUGCUUGUAUUUGCAAUGUUUAGUUCAUUCUCAGCAUGUCAGGAAGCAUGGUGGCAUAGAGGCAGGCAUGGUGCUGGAGAUGGAGUUGAGAGCUACAUUCUGAUCUGCAGUCAGAUAGGGAGACACUGGGCUUGGUACCGGGCUUUUUGAAACCUCAAAGUCCAUCCCCAGUGACACACUUCCUCCAACAAGGUCACACCCCCUAAUUCUUUCAAAUAGUGCCCUGCCCUGGUGACUAAACAUUCAAAUAGAUGAGUCUAGGGAGCCAUUCUUAUUCAAACCACCACAGAUAGACACUGAAGGGAAGCAAGGGCUGGGGGGUAGGUGGGAAGCACAACCCUUAAGACCUUCUGUAAUGAUUCCAGGAAAGAUCCCCAUGAGCCACAGAAUGGAGAGAGCUGGCAGGGAGAGGCAGCCCUGGAGUGUGUGAAGAAUAUGACUCUGUAGGAUGAUAUUUGCAUCCAGUAAGAUGGAGGUCCCAUGGCCCUAGAAAGUUCCUUGUUUCCAGAAAUCAAGACUGGAGGGCAGAGUCCUGGAAGCAUCUUAAAUUCUGAUGUGUCUUCUCAAACACAGAGAAGGACGAAUGGCUGUUCGCAUAGCAUGUGGUCUUGGGUACAGGAACAGAUGACUGUCCAUGGGGUCCUCCUCUGAAAUGUCUAUGCAGCGAGCCCCUCUCUGCACAUAGAUGUUAGGACGGAGGGAGGGCAAGGCCAUCUCCAGUGUUGGGAAGAAUUUUCCCAGUAAGGAACUGAGAAUAUUCGCUUCAAGGCAUAGCCUCAUUCCUGCUUUCUGCCUGGUCUCUUCCUUUGGCAUUUUAGAGCGCAAGGGCAGGUGUCAGGUGUGAGGGCAGGUGUCAGGUGUGAGGGCAGGUGUCAGGUGCUAGGGCAGGUGGCAGGUGAAAGGUCAUCAGAGAUUGAAAGUGAAGCACUAGCUUCUAUCUUCACUAGGAUAAUUACUUUCCUAUAUACUGAUGAACGGACAAUGAACAUGAGGUAUAAUUUACACAGUAGAAUACUAUCCAGCUGUUAAAGAUAUAUGAAAUCAUGAUCAUUCUCAGAUAAACGGAGGGGGCUUGAAACACUCAUUCUGGGUGAGCUAACUCGGACUCAUAAAGUCAAUUGACACAAGUUUUCUCUCAUAGCUUAGGGUAUCCAGAUCUGUGUGUUUCCUUUGGAAUACCCAUAGAGAUCAGGGAAUUAGUAAAGGGACAUGGGAAUGUGUGUGCUGCAAGGGAGGGGAGAUAGGACAAAGUGGUAUAAAGGUUAAGGGGGAAUAACGGGACAGGAAGAGUUCAAUUGAGGUGGGGAUGGGAAAGCAGGGUACGGGUGGAAAUAUGGGGAGUAAUAGAUCUCACUAAAGACAUUUAGAAAAGGCCAUAUGGAAACCUACCCAUUACUGUAAAUGCCUAUUUAAAGACAGACAGACAGACAGACAGACAGACACACACACACACACACACACACACACACGCACCCCACCGAGAGAGAGAGAGAGAGAGAGAGAGAGAGAGAGAGAGAGAGAGAGAGGGAUGAAGAAAGAGAGAGGGAGAAAGAGAGAGGGAGAAAGAGAGAGGGAGAGAGUUAGUUUUCCUAUAACAAAGUGACAAGGACCCUACUGAACACUACAGGCUAACAGAUGAAAAGGCCAGUGUCAGGAAUGGGUUACCAUGUUGACUAGUAAAGUCCCAUAGUCUCCCAAAUAUAACGGGCUAACUGCCAAAGCUAUUCACUGUGCUCCAGAACUCGAGGGUAAGACGUUAUUGCUGAAGGUGUCACAUAUUUGACUCACAGAACAUGGAGCUACCAAGCUGGUAGAUCUGGAAGCUUCAUCCCUACCCCCUUAGCCUUCACAGUGCCGGAAGCUGCUAUGCACACUGCCAGAGAAGAAAAGUAAUUAUCGAGCAUUCCCAGCCGUGAACCCUGCAAGCUCUAAUAAUUGUUUGCCCAGAAGGACAUGCCGGCUGGUACAGUAGUGGCAUGAGCGUCAUGGGAGUAACCAACUAUUGUCCGAUUAGAUUCAAGUCCUGCUCUACGAGAUGAAACCCAUAUCUGGCAACAUUGUGGGGCCAAGAACCUGUGGCCAGAUUAAUGGACCACUCAACCCUCAUCAGAGAAGCUUUUAUUGCAGUGGAUGGUGAUUUACAUAGAGAUCCACAACUGGUCAAGGCGCAGAGACGGGAAUACUCAGCCAUAAGUGGGACAUCUGUAUCAUGUCCCAUCCUCCUAAGGCUCUGGGGUCAUUAGGGAUGAAGGAUGGGGGAGAGUGUAAGGCGGUGGGUGACUACAGGGAAACAACAUGUUUCAGACACAACAAGGCAAGUGUACUUACAGAUUCAUAGUUGGUGUGACAACAUGCACAAGACCUUGGGAAACUCAAGCCAGACCAAACUCCAGCAUGGAGGGAAGUGGAAGGCAUGAAGUCCCAUCCCUAGGCAAGAAGCUACUGAACUUCUGGGAGAAGGAGAGUUGGUGUUCUUUAAGGGUGUAGACCCUGAUACAUUGACCAUUCCAGUGGAAGGCCACACAGCUAAGAGUCUACAGUUGGUGUGAGAAAUCAUUCCUGACCUCUCUUGCUUCCUACUCAUCAAGUCAGUUUCUCAGUCUGAGGAACAUACUAGAGUGUGUCAGUCAACCUUGGCUCUCUAACUCGGUUCUCUUCCUUAUUCCUCUGAGCCAAUCCUGGGCUUCUCUGCCGGUGACAGUAAGCCCUGGAGCCCGAGGCGUGCACAGGCACCGACCGUCCCUCUCCUUCUAAAGAGCUACAGCCUUCUUGGGUGGCAGUGACUGUGGCUUGGCAGGCAACCUUGUCCAUGGACACUCCUACUCUAUUUCUGAGCCAUGUGUUGGUGGCAGGUGCUGUAUGUGUCCAGCUGUUUUCUCUUGCAGUGGAAACCACAUUAGAACUGUGCCCUUAUUUACUUAAGGGCUUCAAGAGCAAGGUGUGCGGAAUCCCUCUCUAGGGACGCGAUCCCGUGUGUUCAGCAUCUGUCUUCCUGCUUGAAGAGGAAGCCCAGCCAGACUCUGAGGGGAGAGCUGGAGGAUGAGCGACAGCUUUCUAUCUGCUGAUUACUAAUCCCUUCACAGGGUAUAGAGUGCUCUUGGUGGGACAGGAUUUGGUGGGGAGUGACCUUAGUCUCAUUUGCCUGAGCACACUUGUAUUACCAGGAUGUGCCGAUAGCUGGCUCUCCAUUGCUGAGCUCAGACCAUCUCUGGACAGCUCUGUUGCACUAAGAAAAGCCUCAGCAAAGAAGAACCUGCCCAGGUGUUUAAGGCUAGCCUGCCUUUGGGACCCUAACUCUGAGUAUUCCCCAUUGCAGUCUGCUGCUGGGGGAGGACAGUUGUGGGAUCACGGGAAGUAUUCACAAGGGACUCCUCCAGACUUCAAGAAGGGAGACGCUUGGGUGGUUACUGUGUUCUGUAUGCAAGUCAGGGACUAUGCAUUAAUUCUAUUAGGACAUGCUUGUGACUGUCAAAAGCUGUGUGUGACCUCCAGAGACGGCAGGAAUGCCGGAUGGAGGUGCCAGUUCUGUGCCUCCGAACCUUGACGACACAACGAUUCAUCCCUCCGAGCUGAGGUCCUGAUGUCACUUCCCCUAAGUGAUUCCCAAGUGUCUUCAGACUUGACAGAUAAAUGCACUGGCUUCUAGGACAGGCAGGUAUCAGAGAAAAGCCCACCGGCUGCUGGAAUCCCAGCCUGUGGAGGAUUAAGGGAGAGGAUCACGAGUUCAAGGCCAGCUUGGAUACAUAUUGAAAGACUGUCUAAAACAGGUAGGCUCCUGUUUGAUGGCCUUUGGGCCAGUCCGUAGCAGACCCUUUCUUGGUUUGCUUGGGGACAGGAGAGUUGAGUUUUACUUGACCACUAAAAAUACCCAAGGGGAAGGCA